GCAGUGAUUGGGAAUGGGAAAUGCAGAGUGAACCCUUUGUUUAACUGAUAUUUGGAUCCCCCUUCUCAGCUGAUAAUUUGGGCUUGAUAGAGAUACUGGGAAAAGGAAAAUGGUAUGCCUUGCGGAUUCUAAAAAUAUACUUUUAUGCUCAAAAUACAGAAAGCAUUUUGUUAGUAGCACAUGCAUACCCACCUUGUAGUACUAUGUUUUUAUAAGGGAUUGUAGAUACCAAUUGUCUUCAUUUUAGUAUCAUUUGUUGCUCUUGCCCUUGCUGAUUUCCCUCCCUUGCACACUGUAAGAAAUAUUUGUCAUGAUGCAUAAUACAUAUUGAGACCAUGAUCCUGGGUCUCAGGACCCAGGUGUUUUGAUGUUAGUUCCCCAUCUUUUUUUCCUCUUCUGCAUCAUCUUUCCCCCUGAAUUACUUCUUUCUUUCAGACCUGUACACCCCUGAUAUGGUAAAAUGAGGUUGGAGCUGUCCUGUCUCUCCUUUGGGGCAAGGCUCCUUCAAUUCUAGAAGUCAAACAUGGCCAACUAUAGGGCACAGAAGAGGUGAGACUGAGGAACUGAAGUCAGAAACAUUUAUGGGUUUAUCUUUGUAUGCUUGAUAUCGCCAUUAGAAUAGUAAGAGCUACAGAGUCAGGAUCAGGAAUGAGCCUAUGGAGUAAUACAAAUGAUAACUCACAUUUUUGUGUGUGCUAAUUUCCAGUUUGUAACUUUCCCUUUUGGUGAAAUAUUCAAUCCUCUCUGGAACUUGGCCUAUUCUCAUUAUAUGCUCAAAGGGCAAAAAGAGUUUUUGACCUAUCUCAUCUGGACUUCUUGCAGUGGAACUUUCUGAAUCUUUUUGGCAGUUGAAGUCAUUCAGCAACCAUUUCAAAAAUCUCUAAUUCAUCUAUCCCUUAAAAUUCUAUCAAAAUACUGUUAUGAUUAAUAGAUGCUAUAAAUGAGUAUACACAUUGAAGUAUUUCUCACAGAACAAACUUGACAUGUUGGUUUCAAAUGAUAUUCACUGAUAAUUUUGGAUCUUGGGCAAAUUUGGGAUUCAGAGGAUAUUUUCCUGUGCCCUUGGACCAAUUGGAUCACGUAGUCUUCUACAAGAUUCUGCUUCAUCUGUGAGGAUUUGAAUAAGCACAUACAUACAUACACAUCACACUUGUGACCUACAGUUCUUAGUGCCUGCAAUGGUGUGGAAAUCUUGCCUUUCCUCUUGAAAAUUAUCUUUGUGACCAGGGAAAUAGAGCAGAUUAUUAAUCUAAAGAUACUUUAUGGCAGUAUCUUGGUAAAAUCUCAAAUAACAGAAAUUUAUUGUUGCUCAAGACCUUUUUGUUUUCUUGGAUGUUACUUUAAUGUUAAAUACUCACUUGUUGCACUAAUUAGUGCUCUCUGGCAUCUACUGGCAUGACUAGCCUUCCCUGCUGCCCAAAGUCUAAUCUAUUACUGUUUUCC
rnacentral:lncRNA from 1 species